rnacentral:rRNA from 1 species
AUUGAACGCUGGCGGCAGGCUUAACACAUGCAAGUCGAGCGGGGAAAGGUAGCUUGCUACCUGACCUAGCGGCGGACGGGUGAGUAAUGCUUAGGAAUCUGCCUAUUAGUGGGGGACAACAUUCCGAAAGGAAUGCUAAUACCGCAUACGCCCUACGGGGGAAAGCAGGGGAUCUUCGGACCUUGCGCCAAUAGAUGAGCCUAAGUCAGAUUAGCUAGUUGGUGGGGUAAAGGCCUACAAAGGCGACGAUCUGUAGCGGGUCUGAGAGGCUGGUCCGCCACCCUGGGACUGAGACACGGCCCAGACUCCUACGGGAGGCAGCAGUGGGGAAUAUUGGACAAUGGGCGAAAGCCUGAUCCAGCCAUGCCGCGUGUGUGAAGAAGGCCUUUUGGUUGUAAAGCACUUUAAGCGAGGAGGAGGCUACCGAGAUUAAUACUCUUGGAUAGUGGACGUUACUCGCAGAAUAAGCACCGGCUAACUCUGUGCCAGCCGCCGCCGUAAUAC